ACCUCUUGAAGCUCAUGGAGACAAUGCCAAAUGUUGGAUUUACUAUGUAUAUAUUUAUUUAUGGCGGGCUCUCUUGGGAAUUUUAAGAUGGGCGGGGCUACCACUGUCAGGUGACUACUUGGGUAGCUUUAAAAAUGACGUCAUUGUUCGUUUGGUAAAAAACAGCGUGCUUCGUCACCAGCAAACCCCACUGGGCGAGCCUCCGUCACAAAGCUGCAAAACAAACAGAGCGGUGUGAAGAGCGGCAAAGGCGGCUUGUUGUGACUUCUACGUGGAACUCGGCAGCACAUCCGUCAUAGGACCCUGCUACCGUGACCCAGGUUCUGCCUUCACCCUCACUCCGCAACCAUGGGCCAAGGACUGUUCCGACCAACAACCUGUCAUCCCUGCUGUUGCUCAAAGGAUGCAUUAGGAGCAAGAAACAGCAGCGGGAGAGAGGUGGAGAAACAAAGGACUGAAGGAACGAGAAAGCUGAAAAGCAACGGAGGACUGAAAGAACGAGAGGGCUGAAAAGCAAAAAAGAAACUUUGAAAACGACAGCACACGGAAAAAAUUAAAAAACUCUC